rnacentral:piRNA from 1 species
UAUGAAUGUAGGUGCCCUUGAAUUUG